GGAAAGUUUGAGAAGCUUUCACAGCCAAGAAGAGCCUGAAGAGACAUGAUAAACAAAUAAAAUGGUGAAUCCUGGAUGCAGCCCUGGAAAAACAACAAAGCGACCUCAGGUUAUGUCUUCUUUUAUAAGACUACCCACUGCCUCUUCUCAAGUAUAUCUGAAGUAUGGCUGGUUGGAGUAUAUCAGGACCCUCAGAGGAGAAAAGCAUAUAAAACCAGCACACCUGAACCCAGGUAAAUGGAAAGACCCUCAUUAUUAUCUUUACCAAAUAUUGACACUUUGCAUUAAUUUAGAUUUAACAGACUACUAAGGGCUUUGUCUCCCCACCUAAAUCUCAUCUUGAAUUUAAUCCCCAUAAUCCUCAUAAUCUCCACAUGUCAAGGGAGAGACCAGGUGGAGAUAAUUGAAUCAUGGGGGUGGUAUCCCCUAUGCAGUUCUCAUAACAAUGAGUGAGUUCUCACGAGAUCUCAUGGUUUUAUAAGGGGCUCUUCCCCUUUUACUCGACGCUUUUCCUUGCUGGACCCUGUGAAGAAGGUGCUUUGCUUCCUCUUUGCCUUCCUCCAUGAUUGUAGGUUUCCUGAGGCUUCCCAAGCAUGCUGAACUGUGAGUCAAUUAAAUCUUUUUCCUUCAUAAAUUGCCCAUUCUUGGGCAGUUUCUUUAUAGCAGUAUGAAAAUGAACUAAUACAACUAAUAGUAAGCUUCUAAUGCAAGAUGACAUUUCUAAAAAUUAUUUUACAGAAAAGAUUCGUUAUGAAUCCGCCAAGACACCAUACUGUUUUAAAUCUGAAGUAAAAGUUAGUCUCAACAAGUUAUUGUAUCUUGUCUGCAUGAGUUUGUCAUUAAAUGAUUCUGAAAUGCAAUGAAAAUGGAAACAUAUUGCUUAAUGAGAAUGAUUUUAUCAAUACCUGCCUUUUCUUUUAAAUUGCUUUCACUGUUUAAUAAAAG
rnacentral:lncRNA from 1 species